UGUCUUCACUCCCCCAACAUAUAACCCUUCUUCAUCAAAAAUAUCUACUGACUCUGUCUCUCACCAUUCUCUUCAUCUUCCCAUCUGACUGGCUUUCUUGAUCCUUUUCUUUUUCUACACAUACGAUGAGAUAUAUAUAGAGAGAUAUGGAGCAGAACCCCAUCGCCCACCGCUUCACCACCCGACAACGGCGAUGAGUGAACUCCACCGCUUCACAGUCCUACCAACCAACGACGACGCUGAGUAGAAUAGUCGGUUCUCUGGCGGCUAGGGUUCCGUUGGAAACCCGACAAAGGAGGUGAUCGGAGGUUGUCGGCUCUGCCGCGUGCUCUUGUCCUGGUUCUUCAAUUUUUGGUCCAUCACACAUAUGUAGCUGCUAGAUCUUAUGGUGCUUUUAAAAGGUCCCAAGCAUGGAAAACCAUCCAACGUAUUGAGAAUGAGGCAGGUACUCAUAAAACUCAAGCACCACAGCCCUCUUCAACUUAAAUAUUAGACACUGCCGCCUGCUGAUAUGGAUGUCAAGGCCGAUGCAGCUAAAGCUCCUAUUGCUGUUGCUUAAGUGUGUUAAUGGUGUUUCUGUCACCUCUCGGUUUUGUCAAUAUAUAAUAGUUCAUUGAGGGAGGAUUUCGAGUUUUAGACGUGAAUGUAACUAUGACAUUUUUUUGGAUCCAAAGAAAUUGUUGAUGUGACUUCGUUUAA